rnacentral:tRNA from 1 species
CGGGGCAUAGCGCAGGUGGUAGCGCGCAUGGUUCGGGACCAUGAGGUCGCAGGUUCAAGUCCUGUUGCCCCGACCA